GAUUUCUGGUGUGGUGCGCCGAGCCCGCGUCCGUUUAGGUCGUGAGUGCUUGCUGCGCGCCUACCAUCCUUCCGGAGAGGCCGAUCUGCCCUUAACUGGGAUGGGUUGCGUCGAUCUGGAUCGUUUACUUUGAAAAAAUUAGAGUGUUUAAAGCAGGCGUUUGCUAUGAAUACAUUAGCAUGGAAUAAUAAGAUAGGACUUUGGUUCUAUUUUGUUGGUUUCUAGGACUGAAGUAAUGAUUGAUAGGGACAGUUGGGGGUGCUAGUAUUCCGCGGCCAGAGGUGAAAUUCUUGGAUUCGCGGAAGACUAACUACUGCGAAAGCAUU
rnacentral:rRNA from 1 species